rnacentral:rRNA from 1 species
AAACCAGCACCUCAAGUGGUCAGGAGGAUUAUUGGGCCUAAAGCAUCCGUAGCCUGCUCUGUAAGUUUUCGGUUAAAUCUGUACGCUCAACGUACAGGCUGCCGGGAAUACUGCAGAGCUAGGGAGUGGGAGAGGUAGACGGUACUCGGGAGGAAGUGGUAAAAUGCUUUGAUCUCUCGAUGACCACCUGUGGCAAAGGCGGUCUACCAGAACACGUCCGACGGUGAGGGAUGAAAGCUGGGGGAGCAAACCGGAUUAGAUACCCGAGUAGUCC